UAUGGAGGGUGCAAGCGUUGUUCGGAAUCACUGGGCGUAAAGCGCGUGUAGGCGGCCUCUUAAGUCUGGUGUGAAAGCCCGGGGCUCACCCCCGGAAGGGCACUGGAUACUGGGAGGCUAGAGUACCGGAGAGGAGGGUGGAAUUCCUGGUGUAGCGGUGAAAUGCGUAGAUAUCAGGAGGAACACCGGUGGCGAAGGCGGCCCUCUGGACGGCUACUGACGCUGAGACGCGAAAGCGUGGGGAGCAAACAGG
rnacentral:rRNA from 1 species